UAGUAGCGUCGGUGCUCGGGUAAAUUUGGCUUUUUUUAGUAAGAGUUAGAUAUCGUUAUUAAUCCCCCGUCCCUCCACCCCUUCUUGGUUAUGAUCCUUUUUCUUUUUUUUUUUUUAGGUGGUCAAGUCAUUUGUAUUUCCUGUAUCCCUAUCUUAAUGACCACAUGCUUGUUUUGUGUUUAUGGGACUGAGGUGCUGAUACGGGAACUGAUUUGAGUGUCUUUUUAAUAUACCCAUGUAAAAAAAUCGAUUUUGUUCCAUGUACUUUCAUAUGUGUGGCAUGUGUUUGUGUAUUUUCAUGUUUUUAUGCUUUAUUGAUGCCUUAUAUCUUAAAGUUUUCAUUUCACUUUUCCUUUUUAUUCUACGCAUAAAUUUUGGUUUUGAACACAUUUUUUAUGUGCUAUAGUACUGUAGAUGUAUUAAUAUGGAGGACAAAUCUUUUUAACAAGUUUUGUCAGUCAUCUUCAGACUUCAUAUGUGUCCAAACAUUACUUAUUUUGGAAAUGCAUAGCGAUUUCCUUCCUCCCCCCCCCCUUACCCUUUCUUUUCAUCUUGUGGGUUUUUCAGUACAGUUACUUCAUGCUGCAGAAAUGUGAUCUGUAUACCUAUUACUUCUCUAAGCAGUUAUGAGACUUUCAGAUGGCAGUGACACUCAAGAAUUUACAAAGCUAGAAAAUUUGCAGCUAUAGAUGUGAAGACAUGCAACAUGUAACAGGAUUGCUAUUAAUAUUUCAGUCUUAACAACUGAAAGUCCUACAGUAGCUACCUAUAACUUAAAUUCGAAUUUUCUAAUGUGGUUAUAAUAUGUAUCAUGCACCAAAAUAAUCAGAAUUGCUAUACAGCGGUGCCUCAUCAUCAAUAUAUUUGUAAUGCUCCCUAAUGCUAUGUGCUCAGUGCCUUCUGUUGAAGGUGUAUUGUUUUGUAACUUUUCCUGGGGCUUCUCCUUCUUUGUCUUCUCCAUACACCAUACAGAGGAGUACACCAGUCUAAAGGGAAAUGGUGUUCAGAAACCAAUCUAAGUCUCCAACACUCGUCCUACUGCACUUAAAUAAUCUACCUUGUUGUCUCUGCUUGUUUGCUUUGGUUCAUGUUUUUCGUUGGUUUGUUUCUCAGGAGCUUUUGACAUCGGCAAUGUGUACUCUGUAACCCCAAGAUAAUACACAGGCUUCUGACUUUCCCACAUCAGCUAAGUUGUCCUCCAGCAUGUCUGGCAAAGGGGCUGUAGAAGGUUGAUAGUCAGAGCCAAGAUACUAUUCAGAAACAUUUUUUUUCUUGAAGUCUCUUUAGGUAAUAAGAAAAGAAUUAUCUUUCUGACCUGACAUUUCAGAAUAGGAAAGGGCGUUUUCUAGGGAAAUCUAUGCAGAUCUCACCAAGGAGCUGUUGUGACAGAAUACUAGCAGCAUCUUUGCCUUUAUGUCUUCCCAGUGCCACCUACAAACUUCCAGCUGGAACAGUUACCUGAACAGAAGGCAGCUGAGAGCCUGUAGCACAAUGUGUUCACCUGGCAGAGAGCUGAUCUUGGAGCCGUUUCUCUGUUCCCUCCCAUCAGACUUCAGUUUCCUGACUCUGAAGGAUUGUUUCUUUUGGAUGCUUCAAAGCUUUGAGCAGUGUAACAAGAGCAGUAGUCUUCAUCUGCUAGUGUGGAACCAAAACUGGCAAUCUUACGCACGUUGUUCUGGAGUGGCAUGUCAUGUCACGGAGCUUCACAGAUGCUCACGAGAACACCGGUUACCAGGCAGACGUGUUGUCAGUGAACUGCAUUUCCAAAUAAUGUUUAUGCCAAAAGAAAGCUAUCAGGUUCACAACAUAUGUGAGGGGUUGAAUGUUUAAAGAUGGGCCACUCUGGCUUCUUUUCUUGCUUCACUGAGAGAGAACUACUCUUCUUCACUUGAAAAGGCAGAUACAGCUCUCUCUAACCUUACCAGAUUUUCUCCAAGCUGAUGCAGCUGCUAAAGUCAUCUGUGGGGGAAGCAAGGCAAAUGAAGGUGGAUGAGCAAUUAUCCCACCCCUGAUCUGAUGAGAGGGAGCAGGGUUGGCAUGCUGGAGACAGAUAUUAAACCAGAGAGCUGCAGCAUCAUAAAGGCAGUAUGAGGCUGCUCUUCCAACAUGGGUAGCUACUUUUGUUUCCCCAGUUUAGGUGCUAGUGCAGCAGAAGCAUUUCCAAGCAAGGCUUACUGGGAAAGAGAAAGUCUCCAUCUUUUGCCCUCCUGGUUCUCUUUCAUCAGAGAGCACUAAUUUGGACAUAAAAUGGAAAUCUUUGUGCAUCCAGAAUUUUGCCCAGCAGGCAGGAUAAAAGUAAAUAAAACACAAAACAAAACAAACCAGAAGCAAAACCAGUCUGUAAGGUGACAGAUCUUUUUAUUGCUUGCAUCAGUUUCCAGACACUCUCUCCCCACUCUUAUAAAUCUCCUUAACUGAUCAGUCAAUUUUAUUGUGAUUUUAGCAGUCUCACCUGCCUUAAAGUACUUACCUGUGCCAAAUAGGCUUCGUGUAUAGGACCAUGUCAUCCAUCUCAUUGGAUACCAAAGUCAACUUUGAAAGGCCCUUAGGAGUUCCAAAAGGAAAUAGCAUUAUUAUAGC